GGUUAAGCGACUAAGCGUACACGGUGGAUGCCCUGGCAGUCAGAGGCGAUGAAGGACGUGCUAAUCUGCGAUAAGCGUCGGUAAGGUGAUAUGAACCGUUAUAACCGGCGAUUUCCGAAUGGGGAAACCCAGUGUGUUUCGACACACUAUCAUUAACUGAAUCCAUAGGUUAAUGAGGCGAACCGGGGGAACUGAAACAUCUAAGUACCCCGAGGAAAAGAAAUCAACCGAGAUUCCCCCAGUAGCGGCGAGCGAACGGGGAGGAGCCCAGAGCCUGAAUCAGUGUGUGUGUUAGUGGAAGCGUCUGGAAAGGCGCGCGAUACAGGGUGACAGCCCCGUACACAAAAAUGCACAUGCUGUGAGCUCGAUGAGUAGGGCGGGACACGUGGUAUCCUGUCUGAAUAUGGGGGGACCAUCCUCCAAGGCUAAAUACUCCUGACUGACCGAUAGUGAACCAGUACCGUGAGGGAAAGGCGAAAAGAACCCCGGCGAGGGGAGUGAAAAAGAACCUGAAACCGUGUACGUACAAGCAGUGGGAGCCUCUUUUAUGGGGUGACUGCGUACCUUUUGUAUAAUGGGUCAGCGACUUAUAUUCUGUAGCAAGGUUAACCGAAUAGGGGAGCCGAAGGGAAACCGAGUCUUAACUGGGCGUUAAGUUGCAGGGUAUAGACCCGAAACCCGGUGAUCUAGCCAUGGGCAGGUUGAAGGUUGGGUAACACUAACUGGAGGACCGAACCGACUAAUGUUGAAAAAUUAGCGGAUGACUUGUGGCUGGGGGUGAAAGGCCAAUCAAACCGGGAGAUAGCUGGUUCUCCCCGAAAGCUAUUUAGGUAGCGCCUCGUGAAUUCAUCUCCGGGGGUAGAGCACUGUUUCGGCAAGGGGGUCAUCCCGACUUACCAACCCGAUGCAAACUGCGAAUACCGGAGAAUGUUAUCACGGGAGACACACGGCGGGUGCUAACGUCCGUCGUGAAGAGGGAAACAACCCAGACCGCCAGCUAAGGUCCCAAAGUCAUGGUUAAGUGGGAAACGAUGUGGGAAGGCCCAGACAGCCAGGAUGUUGGCUUAGAAGCAGCCAUCAUUUAAAGAAAGCGUAAUAGCUCACUGGUCGAGUCGGCCUGCGCGGAAGAUGUAACGGGGCUAAACCAUGCACCGAAGCUGCGGCAGCGACGCUUAUGCGUUGUUGGGUAGGGGAGCGUUCUGUAAGCCUGUGAAGGUGUGCUGUGAGGCAUGCUGGAGGUAUCAGAAGUGCGAAUGCUGACAUAAGUAACGAUAAAGCGGGUGAAAAGCCCGCUCGCCGGAAGACCAAGGGUUCCUGUCCAACGUUAAUCGGGGCAGGGUGAGUCGACCCCUAAGGCGAGGCCGAAAGGCGUAGUCGAUGGGAAACAGGUUAAUAUUCCUGUACUUGGUGUUACUGCGAAGGGGGGACGGAGAAGGCUAUGUUGGCCGGGCGACGGUUGUCCCGGUUUAAGCGUGUAGGCUGGUUUUCCAGGCAAAUCCGGAAAAUCAAGGCUGAGGCGUGAUGACGAGGCACUACGGUGCUGAAGCAACAAAUGCCCUGCUUCCAGGAAAAGCCUCUAAGCAUCAGGUAACAUCAAAUCGUACCCCAAACCGACACAGGUGGUCAGGUAGAGAAUACCAAGGCGCUUGAGAGAACUCGGGUGAAGGAACUAGGCAAAAUGGUGCCGUAACUUCGGGAGAAGGCACGCUGAUAUGUAGGUGAAGUCCCUCGCGGAUGGAGCUGAAAUCAGUCGAAGAUACCAGCUGGCUGCAACUGUUUAUUAAAAACACAGCACUGUGCAAACACGAAAGUGGACGUAUACGGUGUGACGCCUGCCCGGUGCCGGAAGGUUAAUUGAUGGGGUCAGCGCAAGCGAAGCUCUUGAUCGAAGCCCCGGUAAACGGCGGCCGUAACUAUAACGGUCCUAAGGUAGCGAAAUUCCUUGUCGGGUAAGUUCCGACCUGCACGAAUGGCGUAAUGAUGGCCAGGCUGUCUCCACCCGAGACUCAGUGAAAUUGAACUCGCUGUGAAGAUGCAGUGUACCCGCGGCAAGACGGAAAGACCCCGUGAACCUUUACUAUAGCUUGACACUGAACAUUGAGCCUUGAUGUGUAGGAUAGGUGGGAGGCUUAGAAGUGUGGACGCCAGUCUGCAUGGAGCCGACCUUGAAAUACCACCCUUUAAUGUUUGAUGUUCUAACGUUGACCCGUAAUCCGGGUUGCGGACAGUGUCUGGUGGGUAGUUUGACUGGGGCGGUCUCCUCCUAAAGAGUAACGGAGGAGCACGAAGGUUGGCUAAUCCUGGUCGGACAUCAGGAGGUUAGUGCAAUGGCAUAAGCCAGCUUGACUGCGAGCGUGACGGCGCGAGCAGGUGCGAAAGCAGGUCAUAGUGAUCCGGUGGUUCUGAAUGGAAGGGCCAUCGCUCAACGGAUAAAAGGUACUCCGGGGAUAACAGGCUGAUACCGCCCAAGAGUUCAUAUCGACGGCGGUGUUUGGCACCUCGAUGUCGGCUCAUCACAUCCUGGGGCUGAAGUAGGUCCCAAGGGUAUGGCUGUUCGCCAUUUAAAGUGGUACGCGAGCUGGGUUUAGAACGUCGUGAGACAGUUCGGUCCCUAUCUGCCGUGGGCGCUGGAGAACUGAGGGGGGCUGCUCCUAGUACGAGAGGACCGGAGUGGACGCAUCACUGGUGUUCGGGUUGUCAUGCCAAUGGCACUGCCCGGUAGCUAAAUGCGGAAGAGAUAAGUGCUGAAAGCAUCUAAGCACGAAACUUGCCCCGAGAUGAGUUCUCCCUGACUCCUUGAGAGUCCUGAAGGAACGUUGAAGACGACGACGUUGAUAGGCCGGGUGUGUAAGCGCAGCGAUGCGUUGAGCUAACCGGUACUAAUGAACCGUGAGGCUUAACCUU
rnacentral:rRNA from 1 species